rnacentral:lncRNA from 1 species
CACAAAGAUAGAAUGGGACAACAUAGAUGGCCUUAAAAUAUACUAUAGUGGACUCCACCGAAAAAAAACAAAAGGGGGAAGACCCAAAAGGAACUGGAGGAAUCAAGAAGUAGUAGGAGGAGCCGCCAGUGGCAUUUAGCCUCUCGUCUUAUUUCGCCCCUAAGCUAUGACAGGAUUAGUGACUUUUGCUGUUCUAACCUCAAAAAGAGUUGUUUAUCGAGUAGCAGUCUUUAUAUAUGGUAGCAGUCACCAGGCCAAUUCAACUUUCUGCAAUUACCGUAAAGUACUUAAACAAAUGAGAAGAGAAUGAGUCCAUCAAAGGGACCAGCCCAAAUAGACUAUGACGACCCAAAAUACAGAAUUACGCCUGUUCAACAAGCUGCGGCUUUGUGUACUGGGGCACUUUUAACCUCCGUUAUAAUGACUCCUUUGGAUGUGGUGAAAAUUCGAAUACAGGCCCAACAGAAAGCCACGAAUUCGUGCUUUUUGUAUUGCAAUGGGUUAAUGGAUCAUAUUUGUAGUUGUCAACCGAUGGACCCGAUAAAACCCUUGGUAUAAGAGACCUAGUCAGUUUAGUGGGACGUUGGUAUGUUUUUAGAUAUUAAGCAGAAUCGGGAUAAAAAUCGCUUUAAAGCUCAAGCGAAGACCGAAAAAGGUUCUAUUUUGUCAAGCAAAAUCGAAUAGGUACAACACCCCAGAAACAAGCAAAAUGCUUAGUAUUUUCAUUGACUUUCUGAUUAAUGAAUGUGGGAGUAACAUCGAACACAGUAAAACAUUUAAAUAAUCAGAAAGCCAUCAAAGGAAGCAAAAUCUUGAGCAAAAAAUUGGCUAAUUGGGAAAUAAAACGCGACUUUAACCGAGCAGAUUAAGGCAAAUAAACCGAACAGUCAAACGUUAAAGAAAAACUGUUGAAAAUAACAAGUUACUCAAUCUUUACCCGAAAAAAAUGCUUGUUUAUGUCCCAUUAACAGAGUGUCCUGUAAGCAUAUGAUCAAAAGAGGCUGUAACAUUCUUUGACUAAAAACAAGACGAUCUGACUUAACUAUGAAGGCUUUCACGGCCGGUUAAAUCACAUUUAGGAAUGUUUGAGUGCCGAAAAUGGAGUCACGGACAGGAUCGGCAAGAUACUGGAGAAACACCAA